GACGAACGCUGGCGGCGUGCCUAAUACAUGCAAGUCGAACGCUUUUUCUUUCACCGGAGCUUGCUCCACCGAAAGGAAAAGAGUGGCGAACGGGUGAGUAACACGUGGGUAACCUGCCCAUCAGAAGGGGAUAACACUUGGAAUCAGGUGCUAAUACCGUAUAACACUAUUUUCCGCAUGGAAGAAAGUUGAAAGGCGCUUUUGCGUCACUGAUGGAUGGACCCGCGGUGCAUUAGCUAGUUGGUGAGGUAACGGCUCACCAAGGCAACGAUGCAUAGCCGACCUGAGAGGGUGAUCGGCCACACUGGGACUGAGACACGGCCCAGACUCCUACGGGAGGCAGCAGUAGGGAAUCUUCGGCAAUGGACGAAAGUCUGACCGAGCAACGCCGCGUGAGUGAAGAAGGUUUUCGGAUCGUAAAACU
rnacentral:rRNA from 1 species